rnacentral:rRNA from 1 species
GAUUAACGCUGGCGGCGUGCAUAACACAUGCAAGUCGAACGAUGAAACUUAACUGAUUUCUUCGGAAUGAUUUUAAGUGGCUUAGUGGCGGACGGGUGAGUAACGCGUGAGUAACCUGCCUUGGAGAAGGGGAUAGCCUUUGGAAACGAAGAAUAAUACCCUAUGAUAUGAUACUAUCUCAUGAUAUUAUCAUCAAAGAUUUAUCGCUCUAAGAUGGACUUGCGUCUGAUUAGUUAGUUGGUGAGGUAACAGCUCACCAAGGCAGCGAUCAGUAGCCGGCUUGAGAGAGUGUACGGCCACAUUGGGACUGAGACACGGCCCAGACUCCUACGGGAGGGAGCAGUGGGGAAUUUUGCACAAUGGGGGAAUCCCUGAUGCAGCGACGCCGCGUGAUUUAGAAGGCCUUCGGGUUGUAAAAAUCUUUUGUAUGGGAAGAAAAUGACAGUACCAUACGAAUAAGGACCGGCUAAUUACGUG